rnacentral:rRNA from 1 species
AACGACUCUCGGCAACGGAUAUCUCGGCUCUCGCAUCGAUGAAGAACGUAGCGAAAUGCGAUACUUGGUGUGAAUUGCAGAAUCCCGCGAACCAUCGAGUUUUUGAACGCAAGUUGCGCCCRAAGCCAUUAGGCCGAGGGCACGUCUGGSUGGGUGUCACGCAACG